GUUGAACGCUGGCGGCAGGCCUAACACAUGCAAGUCGAACGAGUGGCGGACGGGUGAGUAAUGUCUGGGAAACUGCCUGAUGGAGGGGGAUAACUACUGGAAACGGUAGCUAAUCCCGCAUACCAUCAGAUGUGCCCAGAUGGGAUUAGCGAGUGGGUGGGGUAACGGCUGACCAAGGCCACGAGCCCUAGCUGGUCUGAGAGGGUGACCAGCAACACUGGAACUGAGACACGGUCCAGACUCCGACGGGAGGCAGCAGUGGGGAAUAUUGCACAAUGGGCGCAAGCCGGAUGCAGCCAUGCCGCGUGUAGGAAGAAGGCCUUCGGGUUGUAAAGUACUUUCAGCGGGGAGGCGUUACCCGCAGAGUAAGCACCGGCUAACUCCGUGCCAGAAGCCGCGGUAAUAC
rnacentral:rRNA from 1 species